rnacentral:tRNA from 1 species
GUGGUUGUGGCUCAGUGGUAGAGCACUUGCCUAGCAUGUGUGAGGCACUGGGUUCAAUUCUUAGUGCCACA